rnacentral:rRNA from 1 species
CGGGAGGCAGCAGUGGGGAAUAUUGGACAAUGGGCGCAAGCCUGAUCCAACCAUGCCGCGUGAGUGAUGAAGGCCCUAGGGUUGUAAAGCUCUUUCACCGGUGAAGAUAAUGACGGUAACCGGAGAAGAAGCCCCGGCUAACUUUGUGCCAGCAGCCGCGGUAAUACGAAGGGGGCUAGCGUUGUUCGGAAUUACUGGGCGUAAAGCGCACGUAGGCGGACCUUUAAGUCAGGGGUGAAAUCCCAGGGCUCAACCCUGGAACUGCCUUUGAUACUGGGUGUCUGGAGUAUGGAAGAGGUGAGUGGAAUUCCGAGUGUAGAGGUGAAAUUCGUAGAUAUACGAAGGAAAACCAGUACAAAAGGGAGCUCACUGGACCAAAACAAACGCUGAGGGGGAAAAGCGUGGAAGGAAACGGGG